rnacentral:rRNA from 2 species
UGGUGGAGCAUGUGGUUAAUUCGAAGCAACGCGAAGAACCUUACCAGGUCUUGACAUCCUCUGACAACCCUAGAGAUAGGGCUUUCCCUUCGGGGACAGAGUGACAGGUGGUGCAUGGUUGUCGUCAGCUCGUGUCGUGAGAUGUUGGGUUAAGUCCCGCAACGAGCGCAACCCUUGAUCUUAGUUGCCAGCAUUCAGUUGGGCACUCUAAGGUGACUGCCGGUGACAAACCGGAGGAAGGUGGGGAUGACGUCAAAUCAUCAUGCCCCUUAUGACCUGGGCUACACACGUGGCUACAAUGGAA